rnacentral:rRNA from 1 species
GAUGAACGCUGGCGGCGUGCUUAACACAUGCCAGUCGAACGGAAAGGCUCCUGCUUGCAGGGGUACUCGAGUGGCGAACGGGUGAGUAACACGUGGGUGAUCUGCCCUGCACUUCGGGAUAAGCUUUGGAAACUGGGUCUAAUACCGGAUAGGACCGCAUUUUGGAUGGUGUGGUGGAAGGUUUUUUCGGUGUGGGAUGAGCUCGCGGCCUAUCAGCUUGUUGGUGGGGUAAUGGCCUACCAAGGCGUCGACGGGUAGCCGGCCUGAGAGGGUGUACGGCCACAUUGGGACUGAGAUACGGCCCAGACUCCUACGGGAGGCAGCAGUGGGGAAUAUUGCACAAUGGGCGCAAGCCUGAUGCAGCGACGCCGCGUGGGGGAUGACGGCCUUCGGGUUGUAAACUCCUUUCGCUAGGGACGAAGAGUAAUUGACGGUACCUGGAGAAGAAGCACCGGCUAACUACGUA